UACGAAGGGGGCUAGCGUUGCUCGGAAUCACUGGGCGUAAAGCGCACGUAGGCGGAUUGCUAAGUCAGGGGUGAAAUCCUGGAGCUCAACUCCAGAACUGCCUUUGAUACUGGCGAGCUCGAGUCCGGGAGAGGUGAGUGGAACUGCGAGUGUAGAGGUGAAAUUCGUAGAUAUUCGCAAGAACACCAGUGGCGAAGGCGGCUCACUGGCCCGGUACUGACGCUGAGGUGCGAAAGCGUGGGGAGCAAACAGG
rnacentral:rRNA from 1 species